rnacentral:misc_RNA from 1 species
UCUCGUAAUUCUCAACGAGCACAUGCCGGAUCGCAUCCGGGGUGUUGAGGAUGAAACUGCUGCGCCCGAAAAACCGCCCCUGAACGAUGUCCUCUUCGUAGGCGCGCGGACCCCAGCUGGCGAUGGCGUUGUUGCGGAUCAGGGCCAGGCGGCCGAGCGGCGACAGAUCGUCCGGCGCGAGCGGAGGCCGCGGCGGAACCAGCGGUGGCCGCUGCAUCGGUGCGUCAAGGACUUCGGCAAUGCUCAUAACGCUUUGGCUCCGACAC